rnacentral:misc_RNA from 1 species
GUUGAUUAAAUCAGUAAUCCAAAUAGAUCACAUAAUUAUUUACUCGAAUAGAGUGAAAAAGCAAAUCAAAAUCCUCAGAAGCAGAAACGGCGGGAUCUUCCCAUUGUCUGUUUUCUCUCAAGAUCAGGAAUGUGAAUAUGUGAAUGUUUACAUGAAACGCCGACACUCUUUGAGACAAAUAUGUCGCUGCUGCUUCUGCUAAAUAAUCCAAUGCAGAGAGAAAGAGACAGGGAAUUCAUGAAAGGGACUCGUGACUGAAGCUUUAUGUAUAUUGGGGAUGGCGUCUGCGUCUUUCCG